GUCUCUUCGGGGAUGAUUAAACCGGCGCACGGGUGAGUAACACGUGAGUGACCUGCCUUUUAGACUGGAACAACUUACCGAAAGGUGAGCUAAUGCCGGAUGAGUUAUAUAAGUGCAUGUUUAUAUAGGAAAAGUUGGGGAGACCUGACGCUGAAAGAUGGACUCGCGUCCCAUUAGCUAGUUGGUAGGGUAAUGGCCUACCAAGGCGACGAUGGGUAGCCGGCCUGAGAGGGUGGCCGGCCACACUGGGACUGAGACACGGCCCAGACUCCUACGGGAGGCAGCAGUGGGGAAUUUUGCGCAAUGCUCGUAAGAGUGACGCAGCGACGCCGCGUGAAUGACGAAGGCCUUCGGGUCGUAAAGUUCUUUCGACAGGGAAGAAAAUGCCUAUAAGUAACUGUGUAUGUAUUGACGGUACCUGUAUAAGCAGCCCCGGCUAACUCCGUGCCAGCAGCCGCGGUAAUACGGAGGGGGCGAGCGUUGUUCGGAGUGACUGGGCGUAAAGAGCACGUAGGCGGUGUUGUAAGUCAUUAGUCAAGGACUAGAGCUCAACUUUAGUAAGGCUAGUGAUACUAUAAUACUAGAGUAUCAGAGAGGAUUGCAGAAUUCCUGGUGUAGCGGUGAAAUGCGUAGAUAUCAGGAGGAAUACCGUUAGCGAAGGCGGCAAUCUGGCUGGAAACUGACGCUGAGGUGCGAAAGCGUGGGUAGCAAACAGGAUUAGAUACCCUGGUAGUCCACGCUGUAAACGAUGGAUGCUAGGUGUUGGGCUUUUAAGUUC
rnacentral:rRNA from 1 species